AGAAAAUUGAAGCCAAUACAGAAGUGAGGCUGGCUACAAAAGUGAGUUAAUCCCCAAAACUCCCAAUUUACAGCUAAUUAGCUUAUAGCUAAUUUCCAUCCUUCGUAUUCAUCUGGAGUGAUUUUUUAUUUUAUUUUAAAUAACUCACCUGUUUAGGUAGAUCUCAACACAGACACCUGUAGCCACUAACUGUGUGCCUCACAUUUGCUAAUCUCAAACGUGUUUGUGGUGCAAAUGAGUUUUACAGCAUUUUUCAUGGAGUUAUCUGGCAACCAGUGAGCCCUCGAUUUUGGUGAUUUCAGUUACUCAAGUAUUUUAUUUUUUGUUACUAAUUGGCAGCGAUCUGUGUGUUCCAUCUAUAAAAGCAUCUUGGUAACAAAGCUCAUUGGCUGAUAACUUAACACUCCGCCUUCUCGUCCUAAUACGGUCAUGAGGAUAAGAUGGCCAUGAUGCUAAAAUGUGAUGUAAUGGUGGCUACUUCUAUUUUCUGUACAGAAUCUGAUUUUUUUUUUUUUAAGUUGUAAUGCGUGAAAGAGUUCAAAGUUUUGUUUUUAACCUAACUUUCCUUCAUUUCUUCAGAAUGUGGGCAAGGAGCUUGUCUUUAUAUUUAUCAUCACCAAAAGACUGCUACAGCCUAGAAAUGAUCCAAAGCAUGACCUACAUGGUGCCUGAUGAUAGACUAACAGCCUGUGUGGGGUGCACCUUUCCUUUUUGCUCAGUGGCACCUGUGACACAUUCCAGCUUCCCUGUGACUAUAAAAUGGACAAGCAGUUAAGAGGAUAGAUGGAUGGGUGGAUGGCCUAUGUGACAGCUGUAUCUUUUUCUCCUUCUUCAUCUUUCAGCUGCAUCUUUAAAGGGUCACAGUAUCAUCUGCCUACAUCUGGUUGGAUUUAUUUAUUUAUGAUUUGCAUAUUUGAUUUGACAAAGAUUGUACACCCGAUCCCCUUCCUGCAGCAAACCUCCCCUUUUAUUGGAGGCUGGGCAAAGUAGGAGUACACAGGAAUGUGGCCCCUCAGUGGCUGCCUUUGCAUGACAAUGGAUAAGCCUUGUAAUUCUGGACCCCUGUAGCGACCAGAUCUCCAAUCGUUGGCAGAUUGUAAAAGGUAUGUCAUGUGCAGUGUGCAACCAAGCAUGGCACAGGGUCAGGGGUUCAAGCUAUGCUAAAACAAAGCAGUUCUAUGAGACUGGAGGUGAUGGUGCUAGUUGGCUCGUGUUUUAUCACCACAAGAUAUCCCUGUAACACAAAACACAUUUGUUAUUUUGACAUAUUUUCACAUAUGGUAA
ensembl:lncRNA